UAUUCAGCUUCGACGCUAUGUUACACUGUGAGCCAUUUGCUUGAAUUUUGCAAGACUUCAGCUUAGUUCAUUUAUGACACAACCUGAUUUAGGGUACAGAGCAGGUAUUGCAAGUAGGGCACAAUUACUAAGCAUUAUUUGUACUGCCAUGGGUUUUCUUUCAAAAGAGAU